AAACAAUAGCAUAUUAUGCAUUUCAAUUUCGACUUGAAAAGAGGUUCCCAACCAUUGUUUA
rnacentral:tRNA from 1 species